rnacentral:rRNA from 1 species
GUACAUGCCUACAACUUAGCGUUAAUGCAUCAGAUUCCAUUAGAACUAUGCAGUUAAGCAUGCUUGGCCUAGAGUAGUACUAGGAUGGGUGACUGACUGGGAAGUCCUAGUAUUUUCUCCU